UUUACGGCGUAGGAGACCGUUCAUUUCCAUUGCUGGCCGCCGAGUAACUUCUGAGGGUGAUGUUCAGCACAUGAAGCCCUACAGAUGCCGCCGAUUCAACAAUGCUGAUUAUGAUGGGCGGUCAAUUUAACCUUUGCCUUAUUAGGUCCUCCACAGUCGCCCCAUCAGUCCCUGGCAGUCUGGUCCCUGGAGCAGCUGGCCCUGGCAAAAGUUAUUCCUUCACU